rnacentral:rRNA from 1 species
CGUAAGAUUAGCUAGUUGGUGGGGUAAAGGCCUACCAAGGCGACGAUCUUUAGCUGGUCUGAGAGGAUGAUCAGCCACACUGGGACUGAGACACGGCCCAGACUCCUACGGGAGGCAGCAGGUGGGGAAUAUUGGACAAUGGGCGAAAGCCUGAUCCAGCAAUGCCGCGUGAGUGAUGAAGGCCUUAGGGUUGUAAAGCUCUUUUACCCGAGAUGAUAAUGACAGUAUCGGGAGAAUAAGCUCCGGCUAACUCCGUG